GUAUCAAUGACUUUUUGGCAGGCUUGUUCUAUCAGUCACAGAGAAGUGUGUUUAAAUCUCCAGUUAUGGUGAUAGAUGCGUCUAUUUCUUCUGUUAGUUCUGUCCAUUGCCUCAUGUGUCUGAAGCUCUGUCCCCAGGUGCUGGCACACUUAGGACUAUUAUGUCUUCCUGAUGAAUCGACCCUUCAUCACCGUGAAGGGGAAGAAGAUGUGGGUGUACAGGGGAUGAUGUCGGAUGUGCAAGUGGAAAUUUGAGUUUGGAUCUCAGGAAGAGACACCGAGCCAUAAGGGAAGACACACCCGUCUCUGCUUUAUAAGUGACCCCACCUGUGCGAGAUGAGCUGGCCGUUUCCUUUCCCCAGUUUGUUUGAUCGAAACAUGGCUGUUGUAAACUUUAUCCCUAAAUACCCUUGCUAGGUGAGUAACUGGACCAUGCAAUUUGUGUCGCACUAUUAAUGGUUUGCUUGAUCGAGUUAAUUACUGCAGGGGUGCACGGUCGUGGGAACUGCAGCUGACCAUCCCUGAGGGCUACCUCUGAUGGCCUCUCAGAUUAUGCAGCUGUUUCCUUCCCAGGAUUCUGGCCUCUUUGAAGAGCACCCAGCGGUGAGGCUUCCCACCUGUGCCUUCCAUCUCAGUCUCCUCGCUGUGGUCCAGUCGCAACAUCUAAUCACUCUGGAAUGACUGAAUGUUUCUGUUGUUUCUCUUUGACAUUGAUAUCAUAAAUAACAUCGUGAUGACUAUUCUUGCACAUAAAUCGUGUGCACAACUGAAUACUUAAAUUGGAAAAAUUCCUAGAAAUGGAAUUACUGGGCCAAAUGAAAUGAACAUUUUAAAGUUAGAAUAUCUUUAAGGUUUAUAGAGUAAAUAUGGAAUAAUAACAUGCUAUAUGAUAUGAGUUGUAUUAUGAUAAUACUAUGGUAUAAUAAAGCCACUAAAUAUAAAGUUUGUAAUGUCACACCACAUAAUACAGCUGUAACCUCUGAACAGUGCCAUUUUUAUAGGCAAUUACGGCAUCCACCUUUUUAUUUUACUUAUGGGGAGUGUAACCUUUUCCUCAUCCUUUCUGUCUUUUAUAAUUUUGACCAUUGAUUAUCUGUUUCUGUUAGUCGGUUUUCUAAGUGUUGAUACUUUUCUUACUUAGAAGCUCCUUGUGGGGAGAUGGAGUUUCUGCCACAAGAAGAAGUCGGGACUGGCUGACACUUAUUUAGCUCUUACUGGCAUCAGGCUGGUUCUAGGGCAUCUGCAGUGGACACAGUCUGUCCCCACAGAGGUCAUGAGGCUGGGAGUGGGCUCGGGGCCCAGCCUGCCAGUCCCCCACACCCAGGCUGCAGCUCGGAGGGAGCCUCAUCAGCACACAAGCACAGCGGUCCUCGUCCCGUGUGGGAGGAGCCAGAGCGCGCCCCUCACGUGCCUGUCAGGAAGUGCUCCCUACGUUGGCCCCUUGCUGGUCAGCUGGAGGGAGGUGGGCCUGGGGGAGGUCCCCGGAUGACGGAGGGAGUGGGCUUGGGCACCCGUCCUAUCCCGGCUCCUCUGAGAGCCAAGGGGCAGAACGGGGCUGCCGGGGGGCAAAUGCCGUCCCCGCCAUGAUGGCCUGGACCCCUGCACCAUCCGGAGGGGGCGUAGAGGGGGCCGAGGCUUGGGUGAGUCCCAGCCCAUCGGGAACUUUGCUCAGAUGACGUCACAGUCAAACGCCACUGGGACACCUUUCACUCUUCUGGUAUAUUUUGCAAACAAGCGUCCUUUCAACUUGCUCUUAAACAUUAUUUAGAAAACAUUCUCGGAGAUGCUUCCCCAGCCCCGGGUGGGCAGACGGAGACAUGAGGUCACCUGCCCUCCCGCUCCUGGGGGGCGCCUGCCGCAGGGUCACCCUGCGCUUCCGAGGGAUAAAGGUGCCCCCUGACCCGGGACUGAGCAGGUGCCGUGGGGAACGUCCUCCUUUCCUGGUCACCCUCUUGACGGCCCACCACGGUGCCUUCAGGAUCAGUGGGGGGGCACGUGACACCUCCCAGCAGCCCUCUCGCUGACCCAGGUUCAGUUACCAGGCAGCCUCGAGUGUCGCCGGCAGGACAGGCCGGGCUUAGUCUAGCCCUCGCUGGUCUGGUGGGCAAGUUGCCCACUGGUCUCCACGGGGGCCUCAUCAGUGUGGGGACAGGGCCGGGGGGCGUAAGCAGGGAUGGGAGGGCCCUGGAAGCAGGCGGGGCAGGUGGAGGCGCUGGGGCAUUUAGGGGAACCUGCCCCGCGUCCUCUCCUCCCCCGCUCCUGUUCUGCAGGGAAGAUGGCUGAAGCCCAGGUUAUUCAAGAAAUUUGCCCGAAGCCACAGAGGAGGGUGACAUCCUGCGUCCUGAGCCCUGGCAUUUCUGGAGCAGCUGGGACAUUGUAGAGGCAGGUUGGCAGAGGCCACUCACAUCAUCUGAUUUCAGGUCUGCCCGAAGGUGACCCCGCACAGACUCUGAAGAAGCUCAAGGGCCCCUCACUUGUCUUUCUCAUUCCCUGCUGAGUUUUCACCCUGGGCGGGGCCUGGGGACCAGAGCAAGGGGCUGGGCACACCGGGGGGCUGGUGCUUUAUGGAUAUCCCACCUGACACAGAGCCUAGGCAGCUUGCAGUGACCGGCAUGCCGCGGCCCGCGGGCUGCUGAGGGCGGGGCUGCCCUGGGCCAGCUCGGCCCGUUUACCCCGUGGCCUCAGCCAAAGACGCUCCCUCCUGGGCUGUGGCCUCCCUCUGCCGUUGCAAGGCUGUCGUCAGGCCGGCGAGGCUGGGAGCCAAGGUCCGGGGGCGGCAUGGGGCCACGUGGGGUGGGGGUCGGUGGCAUCACCGACAGUCUGCUUUGACCCCUGCUCCAAGCGCUGCAAGGGCACGGGCCAGCAGGUGAAUGCCAGGAGAGGUGGCCCCAGGAUGCGCUUUCCAACUGCCCGGCUGGUGGUCACAGAGUGGACACCCAGUCAUGGUUCUUGAGCACGAGCCUGGCUCCGGCCUCACAGAUUUUCUCAGCAGUGGCCAGUUGGGCACAGGGUGUGGGGCUGCUGAGCCCUCACAGCCUUGCGUUCGGGCCACAGCUGUCCCCACCCGCCACCUCUCCUGUGGGCUUGAAGCCCCUCACUGCCUCUGCCCUGCACUCUGACCCUUCUUUCCCCUCCUGAGCUCUCGGCGUUGUUGUCCGCAAAGCCCUGCAUGGUCUCACGGCCAGAUGGACGGCCAGAUGGACAAAUGGAGGGAUGGAGAAGGAGACACAAUGCAGACCUGCUGCGGUCGAGGACCGUGAGCCACAGCGACGUCCACGGAGGGCCCGGUGGUCGGCGAUGCAAACAGGUGACGAUGACACACCGCCCACGACCUCUGCGGAGUCCUGUCCCCAUUUCCACGAAUAAGGAAGUUAAUCUGUAAACUUUCAGCAGGACCUGCAUCCAGGUGGGGCAGCUGACUGGAGAAGCAGGGGCCUGGCUACCUGACGUCUACGUCCGUGGGUCAGGCUGAGGCUCAGAACUAAAGAGAAAGCUCUCUGUAAAGAAGAGACGCUCGCUGUCUCCAAGACUAAAGACAGCAGAUUGGGGCGAAGAGAGAUGGGAACCCCAGUGAUGCUGGUGUCUACCGCAGCUUGGUGAGAGCGGCGCUGAGGCCACCUCUUCCAGGGCCGUACCCGCCCAGAGCCAAAAGCGCAGGCCCGGAACCCAUUCCCACUUCCGGGACGUUGUUCUGUGGCGAUGCUCCAGCACAUGCAGAAGCGCUCAAACAUUCAUCAACGGGGGUGUGGAAUAAACCAAGCGCGUCCGUGCCAUGGAACAUCACGCAGCUGUUACAAGUAAAGCACAUCUGUGUGCAGACAGGCAAGACCCACACAGCCCGUCUUAACUAAAAAAGCAGAAACUUCUACACAAUAUGACCUACUUUCCACGAAGAAAAAGAAGAAAGCGCGGGAGGGAGGGAGGGAGAGGUUUGCGUAGACGUAGAGGAAACUAUUGGGAACAAGACGAUUCACUCUGGAUGUUUACUUCUAAAGCAGUAAGAGCCAGAUGGAGGGCGAAAUUCAGAGCUUUUUCACCUUCUGGGUAAUAUCUGCCUAUAAUAUCUGAGGUUUGGUAACUCCUCUGUAUAAUUUCUCUAACCUGAAAACCUGAUAAAAAGCACCAUUGAAAAAACACCAUUCUUGCUAAGAAAGGAAGGUGCUUGUUGCCCGUCCCGACAUCACCUAUUCACUUCCCUUCCUUGCGAAUGCAACGUAUUCCUACCUUAAGCAAAUUCUCAUGAAGCUCUUUCCACCAGUGGACAGCUGACAAUGUACCAUCACCUGGCACCUGGGGCUCUCAGAAACUCACAGGAGGCUGGUCCGUCUGCUCAUUUCUAAGUCAGCUUUUGGAGAACUUGACCUUUAGCAGUGUGCGGUAUUCCUCUUGGCAUGAAGCAGUUUGGUUGAACAUGGAGCUUACUAGAAAUAGAUUUUAUCUGUCUGUAGCACAAAUGCAGUUAGGGGUUAGCUCCCAGAAGGCACACACACAUACGUGCACAUAUGCAGGCACGCAUGUGCUCAGCCCUGGCCCUAGUUAGCAGGUUCUCAGGUUCUGUGGAGCUGUGGGGUGGGUGUGUUGGGAGCCGCAGGUGCCCCCCCCACCCUUGCAGGGCUGCCGGGCGCCCCGCGCAUCACCCCCACCGCUGACCGGAUGCUGCAAGGAGCACGUCCAGGCAGGCGGCGUAAGUGCCCUGGGGAAGGUGGCUGCUUGCAAAAGCCGCAAGCUGCCACGUGCCCCGCUUCCCACCCCGCACGCCAUCCAGGCUCCGCUUUAGACACGGGAAGAUCUCCUCCGAAUGUCCUCAGUUUGAGAUCCUGGGGCCUCAGCAUUUGCUGGCCAGGGCCACCCAGCGAACAGACACGAAAUGGGCUUUACUCAAGCGUCACACAUGGCGGCUUGAGGACAUUCCACACGCGUUUACAACAUUUUAUUUGGUCACCCCCUCCUCUGCUAACAGUGAUAUUCACUCUCCCCUCUGCUGUCAGUCAGGCCAGGCCUCCCCGUUCCAGGCCCGCGGCCUUGGCUCCCGGCAGCUGACGGACGUCCAGGUGCACAUCUGACUCCCACGCUCCACCAACGGCCCCGGGCACCCUGGGAGCUGGCUCUUCAGUUGGUCGUGCAGAUCUGGUCGCAGCAAAUCGUCUGAGCUGGGGAGCCGGGUUGCCGGGGGCUCCGGGUGGACGCUGCCACUCUUUGACCAGGCUCCUCUCACAGGGGGCUUGGGUGCACACCCCAGAGGGACGCUGCAGGGCGACGGCCUCGCGGCGCCCCCCACCCCCGCCCCCGGACGUCCAGCCACCACCCCCGCCCAGCCUGGCCCUGCCUGCCAGGCCCCGCCCCCUGGAGCCAGUCAUCCCGCUGGCUGGCACUUGCGCUCAGGUCUGUGAUGCCUCAGAACGAAGACUCUGUGGCCUCAUUGUUAAAGGGGACCAGUAUCAUAAAGGGGUUGGAGAACCGAGUGCAGCGGCACAGAAAGAAGAGCCUGGAUGGCGGUGUGAGCAUGACUGUGACAGGCGGGGCCCACCUGGGCUUGCGGGAGGGUUCCACGGAAGCCCUCAGCGGGCGCCUGUGUGUCCUGCACACAAGGGGCUGCCCUGUGGGACCUGGGGGCUGAGGCCGGCGAUGUAGGUCAUGCAGAGGAAGGGUGACCACGUCACUCAGGGCCAGCAUCCCAGCCCAGGCCUGUGCCCCCUGAGAACAGGCACUGAGAUCAGAAAAUCCCCCUUUUUCUUCCACAGUCGCUGGACCCAAGUCCUGGGCUACUGCCACCUUGAUCUUUCCUGGUCUCUUUGAAAAUGGGUCUGUCUGCACGGCCAAACAACAUAAAGCACAAAACUACCGAAAUGCUGGAGUGUAACAAUCGUUAGGUUUAAACCCCGGGCGGUUACAAGGUAAGCCGGUUCCACGGGGGGGGAUACGCCAAGCCCGCUCCAGUGGGUCCGAGCCGAUUCACCCCAGGCACCCCUGGCUGGGGGCUCGGGCUGCGGUGUGGAGGCACCUCUAGAUGACCGAGGUCUCUGUCUGCAGGAAGGACAGGGCGCGGGAGCCGCGGGGGUCCUGCAGGGUGCCCUCCGAGCCGUUCCUCGAGCCGGACAAGCUGUGCACCCUGCAGUCCCGGCCGGAGGGCCGGCUGGGGCACAGAGUCGGCCGCCACAUCCUCCCCAGCUCGCUCUGCACCUGGGGCGGGGGCGAGAGCAGGCGGGGCUCAGGCGGUGGGCAAGCUGGAACCGAGACCCCAGCUUCCCCCUAGGGUGAAUGCCCGUGGAUGAACGCUUCCCCUUCGGCCCUUUUCUGGGUGUGGAGGGUGUGAUAUCCAUGGGCGCGGGGCGGGGACAGACGGGCCUGGGAAUGAAGAAGCGGAGAAGGAUGCGGGACCAGACGAGGGACCAAGAGAAAGGAGGUCAGACUACGGAGCCCAAGGCUUCAAUCCAGAGGCAGCGGCCGCUACACCGAGAGCCCGAGAGGGCUAAUUCGCCUUUUCAGAAAAGACCUCCUGUGGAAGCCGGGACCCCAGCGCUUUGCCCUACAGUCCUGGUUCUGCUCCCUGGCUCCCGGGGGGCGGGGGUGUCAGGGGGGUCCGGAAAGAACGAGGGGAGGGAGGUGCAGGAGUCGCUCAGACGACACGGGACAGGGAGGCACGGAGCACGCAGCAGACGCCGGCUCGGCCGGGGGAGCGGAGAGGGCUGGACACAGCCGGGGUGGGGCCCGGACGGGGGACCUGGGACGCCCCGGCGCAGGGGGCGGGGCCGGCUGGGAGCCAGGCGUCCCCUGCCCGCCUCCCCGCCGCCCGCGGUCCAGAGCCGGGGUUCUGGGCGCGGAGGGGUCUCCAGGCUGACCCUCCCCUAUCUGAGGACUCUGCGCGGAGGUGCUGCUUAGGGAUGGGAAACGUUUACAGAGCAGAGCCGGCGCUUUUCCUCGGCCUGGAGUUUCCUGCUGCUCCCGCCGCCGAUGCUCGCUGGCGCUCCCGCUUGGCAGCCCCGAAAGAAGCGAGGAAAGCGAUGGAGGGAGGGGACCCUGAGGACCGCGCGGGGCGACAAGGAAGACGCGCGAGGCGCCGAGCGAGCCGCUGGAGACGCAGCCGCGGCCCAGGGCGGGCCCUCCCCAGGGGUUUCAGGGGCGUUUCAGGGACUCCCUCACAAGCCGAGAACCUGUGCUUCCCGAGGAGGUCAAAGGACUUACUUCACUGUUCAGAAAGCAGUAGAGGACCGCCACCACCAGGCCCUGCGAGCAAGCGAGAAGGGCGGUGGGUCAGAGCUCACUCACACCCUCCCCUCCCCGGGACGCCCAGCCCCUUGCCACGCACCUGGAAGGAUCCGAUGCACAGUUCGAAGAGUAUCUGGUACUUGGAGGAGAUGCCGACGGGAAACACGGCGAACAGCAUGUAGUGGGCUCCAAAGAGAGGGAUGAGCAGCAGGGUGGACUUGGUGAGCCUCCUGCACCACAGGGCGCCCGAGCUGCCGCGGCGGCCCGACGGCCGCCUGCUGGCCAGCCCGGGCCCAGCUUUGACCCCACGCCACCCCGUAGGGACUGAGUGUGCAAACGCGAUGAUGGCCACCACUUUGCCUCGUAAAGCAGCAAAGCUCUUCCAAGAAAUCCUGACGAGUUUGCCAAGGAUGACAUUGCUCUGAGCGGGUCGGACGGCCCCGUGUGCCACUGGCUUUAAUAGCCGAGACCAUCCCCAGCCUUUGGAGGAUGGGGGCAAGUUUUACUUUCAGAUCAAAAGCAGGGGUGGCACCCUGAGCACAAGCGUGACAGAAAGUGUUCCCGCAGACGGCUGUUUAUGGGUCCUGGCAGGCGACCCUGCUCUGGAUCGCACAGAGUCCGAGGAAUCAGGGAACCGGGACCAGAUCUAAUUUCUCUGCCUAUCAAAGAGCUCUUACCCUCCCUAAUCAAAGAGCAGAUUUUCUUCUCACUGCAUUUGUGUUGAAAAUAAAAUACCUGACCUCAAUCCUCCCCCACCCCCCGCCUUCGAAGCCCCUCCCGCUCCCCGAGCAGGUACAGGACACAUUCUUUAAGUCAGGGCUUCUCAGCCCUACCUGCACCAGAACCACCUGGAGGUCGUGUUAAAACGCAGACCUGAGAAUUCUAUCAGGUGCCCAGAGAUGCCGAGGCUGCUGUCGGGACCCCACUUUGAGGACCACUUCUAUAAGCCACUUCUGACAUGAGAAUCAUCUGGGGGCUUUUCAACCUCUUCAAGUCCAGGCUGCCCCUCAUCCAGUUAAAUCAGGUCUCUGCAGGUGGCCCAGCACCUUCCCAGGUGACUCAACCUGGCCACAUUUGGUGUAGCAAGCCCAGCACGUUCUAAGGGUCAGGAGCUUUGGGACCACCGCGGGGCUGGUCAGGAGUGCAGGGGCCUGGGCCCCCAGGUGGUACGUGUGCAUGUCCAGGCCCCUGGGUGACCCCAGAACCAGCAGCCGCUCCAACAACCCGCCUCAUCCUGGCAACUCUGAGCGGUGGGAACCGAGGCGGGAGGCACCUCCGUGCUCCUCCGCGUCUCCUCUGCUUGGUGGACCCCAGCCCACACUCGGAAAAAAGUCACCCUUUGCUUUACAUAUUUUUGAGGCACUGUGGCACUUACAACAAGAUUUCCUCUGUACUGGGCAAUCUGCACAAACUCUGAAUCCCAGCCGCUCUGCACCAGAUGUGAGCACGCCCUGGGCCUUGGUGGGCAGGGAAGGCCUCACUGACCACCCAGCUGUCACCAUGUGCAGUUUUGAACCUUUGACUUUGCAACACCCACGGUGCACUUGCUGCCUUCACUACCUCGGGUCUCUGCCAGCCCAGUGAGUGAAGGCUGGGAUUCUGCAGGGAGCUGCCCUUUAUUUAAAUGUUAGAGAGAACCUGCCUGGAUUCUCACUAUUGAUCCAUCUGGAAUUUGCUGUUGUGCUAGUUUCUAGAAAAGGGAUUUAGAAGCUGGACCCCUGGGGCCCUGUGCCUGGACAUCUGCCACUACUGUUAUGAGACAGAUACACAGAAAAGAUGUGCUCUGCCUUUUUGUUAUCCUGGAAAAAGAACAGAUUCUAUCAUGCCCACUUUAUUUUGUUUCCAAAGUAAAAGCAUCCAUCUCUAAGAUCCGCUUAGGAACGCUCCCAAAGAGCCCAGAGGAAAGGUCAGCGUGGCCCUGAACAAGACGUGCAGAAACUGGAAGUUCAGUUGGAAGGGCAGCCUGAGCUGCAGGCAUGGGGCGAGUCCAGGAACCAGCCCGGCUUCUCACCUGAGCAGUAAAGAUGCUACUUGGAAGGUUCGGCUGAAACCACUUUAUCCUUUGUGGUCUGACGUGGAAUCCUAUCUCUAGGCCUGACCUCUGAUGUGGGCUGGGCAGAGACUGUCACACCUCAGGGCACAGUUAUAUGUAUAUGUUUACCAAACUCUAUCGCAACACUUUGCUGGUGCCAGCCACUAAAUGUCUUUUGAAUAUUAACUCUAUCAGUCCUUAUAACCUUGUGACAAGUAUUAUUAUUAUUUCCACUUCACAGGUGAGGAAACCGAGGCAGAGCAGUGCAGUUACCUCCCCCAGGCCUCCAGCUGGUACAUAACCCAGCACUGGGCUGCUGACCACAGGGGAUGCCACCUGUCUCCCCAGGUCCACCCUGCUGUCUAAAGGAGGGGAGGGAAGGAGACAGCUGAGGGGGGGCCCACCCUGCAGGGGCAGUCAGGUAACCCACCCAGGGUCACGCAGCUUCUGCAGCUGCAAUUCCAACCCCAAUCUGCCUGUAUCCAAGGCUCCUAUCAGCUGGACCAACCAUUCCACACUAAACUGGCUUUAUUUUAUACUCGAGUUGUGGGCUUUAUCUUUUCUUUAUAAAUUCUUGAUAGAAAUUCAUAUGACCGUCAAGUUCCUUUACGGAGUUCUCAGACCCUUAUUAAUCAGCUGGAUGAUGGGGAGUGAUUUACUUAACUUCUCUUCCCCACGAGGGAGAUGAUGACAGCCAUGUUCAUGUUGUCAUCCAGGCAACAAACAUCACUUGAGUUAUUAUUAAGUACAGGGCGCAACAUGAGGUGUCCCCUGGACCCUGUGGUCUGAUGGGCAAGAAAGAACUAAAUAUAAAAUACAAACAACGUGUGGCCAAGGAGAGAAAAGUCAGAUUACAAAACAGGAGAGCGGGCAGAACACUUCAAUAAGCUGCUCUCUAGAGGACAUCCACGCUGGAAUGAAGGAGAGGAACACGGCUUGAAAAAUUGCCAUGGCAACGCUGGCCUUUGGACAAGACAGUCCAUCUCCGGGGGUCCCUGUAAAGUGGCCAAGAGCACACUCCUGCGACUAAAGGAGAAAAGCUGGGGUCAUCUGCAGGGUCUCGCACCCCAGUUUUGCUGCUCUCCACACAUAUACUCAGUUUCCAGGCUGCCUGAGGUUGGUGAGGGUGGCUCAGAGCUGGAGCUAAACAAAUACUCACUUGUACUGUGACUGGUCAUUGCCGCCGACAUCUGGGGAUGUCAACUUCUGCAGUAAAAUUCGUAUAAUACUAACAAAAAGGAUGAAAUUGACCUGCACGAAAAAGAGACGACACGUUUGUGUGUGAAGUCCCCCUGCAAGGGAGGUGGUGUGGCCGGGAUGUGUGUGCCUCUGCUGUUUCAGAAGCACCAGGGCCCUGGCCCCUAGUUCUGCUCUUCCCUGCCCCACCCCCUGAGUCAGAGCCAGACAGUGUCUCUCUGCUGCAUCACAUACGUUCCGACCCCAGGGCACGGCAGCUGAGUUGAGAAAAUUAAUUUUGAGACGUGAAAUCCGCAGGUGGAAAUCCAGUUCUGCUCUAAGGCUGCACACCUGGGGGACCUGACUCUGACCCCCACCCCACCCCGAGGUUCCCCUGGAGGACUGUCUCUUUCUCGCCCUCCGCUUCACUGAGAAUUCGUCCUGAAGGUGGGCCAAGCCCACCAUGCAAGAGCUCAGCCUCAGGGUACUUGUCUCAGAAGACCUAGUAGAACGGGCCCUUUAUAGUUACUACCAGACAGUGGGCUCGCUCUCUGCCCAAGUGUGCAACCCGGCAGGCAACUCACGUUUCAAUACAGAAAUGACUUACUAUAAUAGAAAUUAAAAUUGGUGUUCGUAUAACCCACCAGGGAACACUGUGGUCAUUGGUAUCCCAGCAACUGUUGAAAAGAGAGAAGGAAAAUCACGUUACCACCAAUUCCAUCUACAAACCAAGCACAGGAGGAUAAGCACGCUGCAGACUCACCCUUUCCCCGGGGGCUUGAACACUUUCCCCGGGGGCUUGCGAAACAAAGCGCCCCGACCGUGAGCCCUCUCACUCACGCGGCUCCUUAGGGGGACCCUCCUGACUGCCACGCGCUCUCUCCAGCAGGAAGCUGGGGUGGGCGGCUUGUAAAAUGCCUCCAGCUCACUCCGUCACCCACACCCCUUCCCAGCAGGGGCAGAGACCCACCCUUGUCCUGGGUCCUAGCUGGUUGACAGCAGGAUGUGGAGUCCUUGGAACCCAGCGUACGCUGCCUAGACCCACGGCCCUGGCUGCCCCUGCAGGUGCCUGUGGCGUGUGAGUGAGCCAGGCUGAGGCCAGGAGAACCGCCCAAAGUUCCAGGGACAGAAGCACACCAAAUCAACUGGGACUAUGUGAGCCCCCAGCUUUGGGUGGUUUGUUACUGGCGGUGGACAACUGGUAGACCCUGGGUCCUGCAUGAGGCACAGUGCCGGUGGUGGGAGCUCUUGGUGCUUGGGUCUGGGCCACGGUCUGGCUCACUGUGCACACGAAGCAGAAGUGCUCUGGGCCCUGGUCCAACCGUGCUGCCUCGGAGAGCUGCGCCCCAGCUGGCCUCUCAACCCGGCCUCCUCGCUGGGCUGGCUGCUCCGUCUCUGCCUGGUUGACCCCAACCUCAGCUCCGCUGCCAGGCCCAGCUCAGCCCCACCUGUCCCUGGGCUCUUCUCCAAGCACUCCAACCCGUGUUCCUCCCCGUGCAGUUCAACGUCCUCCCCAUCCGUGUCCAAAGGCUGCCUUUGACCAGAUACGAAGCUUCUCUCUGGUUUCCCAAGACCAGUGAUGCCAGGACCUCAGUGCUGCUUGACCUCUCUUUACAGGCAUGGCACUCACCCCGUGUCUUCUAGUGAAAGCCUGGCCGCAGUCCACGCACCUGUGCAGACGGUGGGGAUGCCUGCAGAAAGACACCUGGUGACCACAACCCCAUGCUGGUUACUUGCACCAGCCCAGCAGGGGCACACGUGGGAGCUUUCAUUAGCCUGAUGGUCAGGGACAAGGGCCUUCCGAUGAAAAGAUCAAGUGGAAGCUCUUCAUAAAUACAUACAGGCUUAUGCUCAUGCCUUACUAAGCAGUGAAGAUAACUGAGUAUGUGUCUGAAGGCUUCACAGUCCUGAAACACAUCUCUGUGUUUCUGGGUGUCGGUGUCAACGUGCUGGGGAGGCUGUGUUCAGACUUGGCAAAGACCUGCAGGGGAGUCCCUCGCUGUGAAGGUGGGGGUCCCGCAGCUGACGCACAGCCCUGCUGAUGGGCACGUUAGUGGGACCUCGUGAUGGAUGGCCUCCCUGCUUCUCCUCCUCCCAGGCCCCUUCCUUCUGACUUGCCCACCAUCAGGGUUUGCCCCAGCAAUGAGAGUCAGAGCAGUUUUAAAUCAGGUCCUGGCUCCCAGAAAUACUAAGCUGUUGGCUCUAGAAAAGCUCUUCCUACAGGGGCGGCACAGCAUUUUUCUGAGCUGAAAGCACCUGCAUUUAUAGGUCAGAGAGGACAGCAAUCAGGAACCUGGGGGGUUUGGGGGUGGCAGUGGGCUGUCGGGGGGAGUCCUUACCCCAUCCAAUCAGGAGAUAGGCCACAAAGCGCCGGCUGGGGGAGAAGAUGGCCACCAGGAGGGUGUGGAGGUACAGCCCCUCCACCAGGAGCCAGUAGAAGUUGGCCAUGAUGCAGUACUGGAAGAAGACCAGGCUCAGCUUGCAGCCCACCUGGAUGCCACAGACAGAGUGAGAGAGCACACUGCGUUUGGAUGAGGACUUUCGGGGCGGGCAGCCGGCUCCAGGUCCCAACGCGAGCCCGUGCUGCACGAGGCACGUGGCCACCCAACACAGAGGUGCCGCCUGGAGGUGUGUGCCUGUUCAGCCGCCUCCCCUAAUAUGUGUAUGUGGCUGAUGGGUGGAUGUACUUCCAUAUAUGUGGACACACUCAUACACGUGUAUGGGGUGGACAGAGUUGCAGGCAAUGCACGGCAGCCUCUCAGCUGGCUCCCCGGGGUCAUGAGGCGCUUGGACUCACAGCGGCUCCAUCCUCUCCAGGACGCUCCAGCCCCUGACCUCGCACCAGGUCUCUCUUGCCUAAGUGGAGUGUGGUUCCGUCUCUUUCUAAGGCGGUUACGGUUUACUGAUGCUGAGGGCGGGGAGGGGGUCUGCAUGUGGAGGCGGCCCACUGGACAUUGGGGCUGGGCCGCCGUAAGUGGAAAGACGCACGUGACAACACUGCUGUGGAGACAGGAGAAGCGACCCAAGACCUCGUUGGGACAGUGACAGAGGCGCGUGCUGGGUGUCAAGGAGGGAAGAGCUCCACACCCACGGGUGGAGGGAACCUGUGGUGAGCCCUGCUGGCCGGCGCAGAGGGCACGUCCUGCACACGCAGCAUCCGUAGCACCCGUGGCAUCUCUGCCUUUGGAAAGCUGUCUAGCACUAUCUGUCGCAAUGUAAACACAUGUGCCCUUUGGUCCCUCCAGUCUCUCUCCAGACCCACCUGACCGAGGUGAGAGCACUGGUGCACGAAGAUACACGUACACUGACGCUUGUGGGGACAGAAGAUACAAAAACAGGGUGUCGUGCAGAUUACGUCACACCUGCACAGUAGAUUCAAAGCAGACCCUGAGACACCGCUAGACUCAGAGGAUUUCCAGGAUAUCCUGUUGGAGGAUUUUCUCUAGACUGGAGCACGGUUUCCACAGGUUUAGAUCAAACCCAGACCAACAAGUGCAGAGAACGAGGCACCCACACAUGUGCGGGCUGGCCUAGGUGGGGACGGAGGCAGGGGUUCUGUCUCCUGGUCCACGUUUUGAUCCAAUAAAGACACUGGCUUCUUUGAGGCCCAACUCCUUGAAAAGGACGAGAAAACAGCACCUACCACGAGAGUUGUCAAAGGCAAAAUCAGGUGUCACACCUGGAGAUACGUGUCCUCUCAGGCUCUACGGGGCCAGACGGCAUUUCCCUAGAGUGCUGGGAAGACUUACAGCAUCUGCAGGUGCUGGCUAAGAGCAAGUCAACAGGAUAUUUUGUUUAAACAUGUGAAGAUGGCAGCUGCAGGGCUGGGGAUAUGGGCCUUGGUGCCUCUGUGGGUCUCAUGCCUGGAGCCCUCAGUGCACAGUGAGUGGCAGAGGCGAUGGCGUGGUGAUGUCCACGUGUGCAGUUUCACUCGUCCUGUGUCCACAGCUGCUCCACACUUGAGGACAUGGGCUCCCCCAGCACCAUGCAAAGCCCCUUCCUUUGGAGCCGUCUUUCCAGGGACGGAGCCAAACUCGUGAUGGGACAGAGUCUGAAGGGUGUGUGUGUGCCUGGGUCUGUGCGCCUGUGUCUGUGUGAGCGUACGCAUGCCUGUGCGUUUCUGCGUGCCUGUGCACCUCUGUGUGCAUGUGUUCUGCGUGUGUGUGCACUUGUGCACCUGUGUGUGUUGACGGGCUCUUCUCACUUCCCCUUCUCCUGCCCCCUCUGCCAUUCUGGCCCGGGCUGUGGGCCUACAUGGCAGCUCAGUGGGCCCAGGACCCUCUGCAAUGUGCAGACCCCCAGCCCAGCCUUCAGCCCUUGUUUCUGGCUCUCCGCCUCCCCCCGACCCACCCGGGACAGCAAGCAGCUGGUCAGCAUUCAGCUUUGGGCCGGGUGCAUCCCUGUUCAGAUGCGUCAGCCUCACUGCAGAGCCCAGGGCCUCCGAGCUUACCCCUAGGCAGGUGGGACUCAGGGCAGGGACACCCAGGUCCCCGUUGGUGCCCGUCCCCCAGCCAGAUCCUCCGUCUAUACAGCAGGAGAAAGUUGAGAGCACCGCUCCAGGUCAAGGGCCUGCUGUCUGUGGGUCCGUCAGGGUCACUACGUCCUUUAAUGAAGAGCUAAGUACGGAGGGCUGCUUCGAGCAGAGCUUUGAGACACAGAGACAGGACCGAAGGCUCCUCAGCGGGAGGACAGCCAGGCACCCCUGCUCCAGGCCUGCGGGUGCACCCCCAGCUGUGCAGCGGAGGCUCGAUCUAGGGACGAGAGCCCAGGGGCCGCACUUCCACCUGCGGCUGGGACUUGCCAGGUGGAGGAUCUUGUUGCUAAUUUCUGUAUUAUAUUCAGUCCACAUGCCUCCUGGUCAAGAUUAUCCCAGGAAUAUAUUGAUAUUUAUUGCACCUGCAGACCUAAGAAGCAGCUGAAGUUCUUCCGUGUGAUAAAGGCUUUACUAUGUUAAAACGACAUUGACUCAAAUCUGCUCAGUCCAGAGCAACGGUGCCAGCACAUGAAUCCAUCCGCUUGGGAGGCGGGUGGAGAACAGCAUUCCGGCUAGUGUGGAAGAGCUGUGACCAGGACUAGGGUGCCGUGUAGAACCCAGGUGGAGGGUGCGACUGGGUGUCGGAAGACUGGGUAGAAGGACUUGAUCUCAGAGGAGCUCAAUAUAAACGCACUAAACUCAACUAUGCCUUAAAGGCCCCCUAAUGUCCACCACAAGCCAAGCCUGCACUGCAGAAACUAACAGUUAAGGUGAUUCAUCCUCUUGCAAAAAGCUGGGCCCGCGGGUCACGGGCGCGCACUGCGCUCCCAGCAGGUGCUGCGGAGACGCACUCACCGCGCAGGUGAUUUCCACCCAGCAGUCAGGGGAAGCAUCUACUGCUCAGAAUCCCGGACAUGUGCGGAGAAAACGGCGUCGUGCGUGCCCACCCGUGCCUGGAACAUCCGGCUCGAGCUGCCGCUGGUGCUUCGGGGCAGCGGCCUCUUGGGAGGCCGGCUCUGCCUGGGGUCAGCACUCUGGCCGUGACCUCCCACCGGGCAGUGCCCACGUGCCCACCUUGUGUCUCUGGCCACCGUGGGCCUGCUCCGAGCUCAGGCCCGCUCCUGCGCCCUGACGGGGACCACCGGCUCUGGGACUUCUUCCCGAUGCCAAGUGGGGAUGGAGUAAAGGGAUGGGCGGUGGGGAGGGAGGUCGGUGGGGCUGGAGUUCACACAGGCACCUGCCCCCCAUGAGAGGACCCCGCCCACAGGGACAGCCUUACCCA